rnacentral:rRNA from 1 species
CGUUUCAUUCAACGUUAGUGGAGUACAAAAUGCAAACAUCACACCAGAAAAAAACUAAUGUUACAGAGUAGUCCUAGAAACUAACACAAAGGACCCUAACAAGUAAGACCAAAAAGCAAUCGGGUCCUUCUCCACUCCGUUGCUCUGCCCGCCCCGCCGUCCAGUCGGACGCUCGCCUUGCUGCUUUGCCGUUCUGCUCGCCUCAUCGCUGUGUCAUUCUCCUCGCCUUGGCGCUGUGCCGUUCUGCUUGCUGCGCCGACGCCCGGCCCUGCUCAGUCGCGCAACUCCGGCCCAGCCGCGCUCAGGAGCUAACUUGCUCCAGCGCCGCGGGGAGGCACGCGAGGGAGGUCGGGGAUGGCCGGUGCUCGACCGGUGGAGCGCCCGGCUGCUCUAGCGGCAGAGCUCAUGAGGCAGAGAGCGGGACCGACGGGUGAGGAGGAGCUCGGGGUGUGGACGGGCUCGAGGGCGCGACCGGAGGAGCUGGAGUGCGCAUGGCCGGCCGGUGAGGACGAACUCCCGAGGGGUGGAGCUUCACACGGCGCUGGCGAGGUGGCAGACGGAUGGGUAGAAGGGCGCUGGGCAUGGCGGCGGACGGACGGCCUCGCGGGCGCUGGCUACGGCAUGCUGAUGCUCGGGGAUGGGCGGGCGCCGGACGGGCGGGCGGCGUUGGCCGGCGGCGUGUGGUUGCUCAGGGCAGAUGGAGGGAUGAGGGCGCUGGCUGGAGGUGUGCUAGUGCUCUGGGAGAUGGAGAGAUGAGGCAGCACGGGGGAGAAGAUGGGAAUUGUGGGUGGGACAGGUACGGGG